GAUGAACGCUGGCGGCGUGCCUAAUACAUGCAAGUCGAGCGAACAGACGAGGAGCUUGCUCCUCUGACGUUAGCGGCGGACGGGUGAGUAACACGUGGAUAACCUACCUAUAAGACUGGGAUAACUUCGGGAAACCGGAGCUAAUACCGGAUAAUAUAUUGAACCGCAUGGUUCAAUAGUGAAAGACGGUUUUGCUGUCACUUAUAGAUGGAUCCGCGCCGCAUUAGCUAGUUGGUAAGGUAACGGCUUACCAAGGCAACGAUGCGUAGCCGACCUGAGAGGGGGAUCGGCCACACUGGAACUGAGAAACGGUCCAGACUCCUAGGGGGGGCAGCAGUGGGGAAUCUCCCGCAAUGGGCGAAACCCUGACGGAGCAACGCCGGGGGAGGGAUGAAGUUUUUCGGACCGUAAAACUCUUUUAUUGGGGAAAAAAAAAUGGGAAAGUAACAAUGCACGUUUUGACGGUACCUAAACAAAAAGCCACGGCUAACUACGU
rnacentral:rRNA from 1 species